GCCAUCGUGGCGCAAUGGUAGCGCAUCACCUUCCUAAUAUUAGGAAGUGUAAAACAGGUGGGGGUUGCGGGUUCGAUCCCCGUCGGUGGUA